GCAUCUUUUAUUUUGGAAUGUCCUUCAGUUCUAUUUUAUAGUUUUCACUUUUUAAAAAUAUUACAUUAAUGUCUUCCUUUAAAUACUUGUGCAUAUUUAUAACUGUUUUAAAAUCCCAAUCUGCUCAUUCCAAUAUCUGUUUUCUGGGUCAUUUUUAAUUGACCAAAGUUUCUUCUGAGGCUGGUUCACAUGGUUUUGGUUCUUCAUAGGUCUAGGAAUUUAAUAUUGGAGCUGGACUUGUGUAAUAUCACAUUAUGGAAUGUCUGAAUUUUGCUGUCUUCCAUUAAUACAAGUUGAAUUUUGUUCUGACAGGCAGUUAACUUGUGGAUAAACCGGAACCUUUCAGGAAACUCAUUUUAGGACUAGUUUAGCCCUUCCUCUAACAGAUUAACUGUCCAAGGCUUCUACUAAGGGCCUCAGGUACUCAAUGAAGUUUCCCCAGUUUGGGUGGUCAGAAGUCAAACAUCUCUCAAUCCUGCAAACACUCCACUGAUUGCGUGGAUUACAGCCCUACAGUAACUCUUGCUGUGGGUAUUAUUCUUUAGCCAGUGCCUGAAAUCAAGCUCUACACAUAUUCAACCUUAGAUUUCAGUCAAAAAAUUUCAUGUUGUCAUUUGGAUUAAAUAGAUAUAACCUAUAUAUAGAUUUCUACAAAUGUUUUUUCUGCAUAGCUCCCUCUUCUCUGAAAAUUAGAGCCAACUGUGCCCUUGAAUUUUUCAGUUUAGCAAGACGGCCCUG
rnacentral:lncRNA from 1 species